rnacentral:tRNA from 1 species
AAGAGAAUGGCUCAAUUGGUAGAGCAGUGGUCUCCAAAGCCGAAGGUUAAGGGUUCGAGUCCCUUUUUUCUUG